GAUGAACGCUAGCUACAGGCUUAACACAUGCAAGUCGAGGGGCAGCAUGACCUAGCAAUAGGUUGAUGGCGACCGGCGCACGGGUGAGUAACACGUAUCCAACCUGCCGAUUAUUCCGGGAUAGCCUUUCGAAAGAAAGAUUAAUACUGGAUAGCAUAACGAGAAGGCAUCUUCUUGUUAUUAAAGAAUUUCGAUAAUCGAUGGGGAUGCGUUCCAUUAGUUUGUUGGCGGGGUAACGGCCCACCAAGACAUCGAUGGAUAGGGGUUCUGAGAGGAAGGUCCCCCACAUUGGAACUGAGACACGGUCCAAACGCCUACGGGAGGCAGCAGUGAGGAAUAUUGGUCAAUGGACGAGAGUCUGAACCAGCCAAGUAGCGUGAAGGAUGACUGCCCUAUGGGUUGUAAACUUCUUUUAUAUGGGAAUAAAGUGGGCCACGUGUGGCUUUUUGUAUGUACCAUACGAAUAAGGAUCGGCUAACUCCGUG
rnacentral:rRNA from 1 species